GUCUAUGGCCAUAUCACCCUGAAUGCGCUCGAUACUGUCCGUUCUCAGAAGCUAAGCAAGGUCCGGCCUGGUUAGUAUUUGGAUGGGAGAAAAAAAGUUGAUGUAAGUA
rnacentral:rRNA from 10 species